ACACAGAGCCCCGCGCAAGCUAACGACUUGAUAGCCGUGAGGGUAUGGCAGCGUAACAGAGAAUGACCGCCCGGCGAUCGCCGGGUAAGGGUGAAAAGGCGGGGUAAGAGCCCACCGCGGGGGCAGCGAUGUCGCCCGGCCGUACGUCCCGCGGGUUGCAAGACCAUGUAUACCGGCAAUCAAGGGCUGCUCGUCCGAUGUCGGGGGGUAGGUUGCUUCAGACGGCAGGAGACUGCCGCCGUAGAUAAAUGACAGAGGCCCGGGCUUCGGCCCGGGAACAGAACCCGGCUUACAGGGCCUGCACGUAC
rnacentral:RNase_P_RNA from 1 species